rnacentral:rRNA from 1 species
CCCUAUUAUUUUGGAAUGUUAAGGUUUAUGUGCUUGAGUAGUAUUAGUUAUGUUCUUGAAACUUAAAGAAUUUGGCGGUAUCUCAUUCCGUUCAGAGGAAUCUGUCUCGUUAUCGAUAGUCCACGUUGGACCUUGCUUGGAUUGCUUGUGGUUUGUAUACCGCCGUUUAUUGAUUAUCUUUUUAGGGUUAAAGUAAUUUUCUGGUUUCUCUAUUUUGAUUUAUUUCAGGUCAAGGUGCAGCUUGUUUCUAAGUGUAUGAUGGAUUACAUUGUUAUUUGUUUUUGGAUUGUUGAUUUUAAUAUUGGCAUGAAAUUGGAUUUGGUUGUAAUAACUUGUAGAUUGUUUUUAUGAUAUUGGUUUUGGGAUAUGUACACAUCGCCCGUCGCUCUCGUUUAAAAUUCAUUAAUGAGAUAAGUC